GGGGCCGUAGCUCAACUGGCAGAGCCACCGGCUCAUAACCGGAAGGUUCCAGGUUCGAGUCCUGGCGGCCCCACCA
rnacentral:tRNA from 2 species